rnacentral:rRNA from 2 species
ACGAACGCUGGCGGCGUGCUUAACACAUGCAAGUCGAACGAUGAACCACUUCGGUGGGGAUUAGUGGCGAACGGGUGAGUAACACGUGGGCAAUCUGCCCUUCACUCUGGGACAAGCCCUGGAAACGGGGUCUAAUACCGGAUAACACUUCCACUCGCAUGGGUGGAGGUUAAAAGCUCCGGCGGUGAAGGAUGAGCCCGCGGCCUAUCAGCUUGUUGGUGAGGUAAUGGCUCACCAAGGCGACGACGGGUAGCCG